GUGGGGAAUAUUGGACAAUGGGCGAAAGCCUGAUCCAGCCAUGCCGCGUGUGUGAAGAAGGUCUUCGGAUUGUAAAGCACUUUAAGUUGGGAGGAAGGGCAGUAAGUUAAUACCUUGCUGUUUUGACGUUACCGACAGAAUAAGCACCGGCUAACUUCGUGCCAGCAGCCGCGGUAAUACGAAGGGUGCAAGCGUUAAUCGGAAUUACUGGGCGUAAAGCGCGCGUAGGUGGUUUUGUAAGUUGGAGGUGAAAUCCCCGGGCUCAACCUGGGAACUGCCUCCAAAACUGCAUGACUAGGGUACGGUAGAGGGUAGUGGAAUUUCCUGUGUAGCGGUGAAAUGCGUAGAUAUAGGAAGGAACACCAGUGGCGAAGGCGACUACCUGGACUGAUACUGACACUGAGGUGCGAAAGCGUGGGGAGCAAACAGGAUUAGAAACCCUGGUAGUCC
rnacentral:rRNA from 1 species